UGAUGGGGAGGAGGGGCUGCUGUAUGCGACAACAGAAACGCACACGCCCCGCCUUCACUACACGCGUCUUCCUGUUUCUUGUGGUGCACUGCCGCUUCUCACUCUUUCCGUUUCUCUAUCUCUCUUUCACAUCGGCAGGGCAGGGCUGCAAGGGAGAGGAUUGCCCCAUGUCCUCAUACCAGUUUGCGCGGCCAAGCGACGGUGCUCUGCGCACUGCUUUGAAGGCCGUGCUGACAACGUCGCAGCCACCGACGCUGGUGCCUCACCCGCCUGCGAGGAAUGUGGCCUGGCGCCCCCGACGCAUCGUUGAGGAGCUCAAAGCGCUGAGAUGUGUUGAGGCGCUUUCAUCCUUUGAAGCGGAGCUCCGAGGACUAGUGGGCCUGCAAGAGACACGGUGUCGCACGAAGCUUGUCAACCGUGCAUACAGGGACGAAUGCGCCUUGCGCGAAGUGGAGCACCUUCUGGCAGCCGAAGCUGCUCAGCGCCGCGAUGUGACGAAAAAUUUUUUCGCCAUCGUGCGGCCUCCGUUCGAGGCCCUUCAUCUGUGCUUGCAGGAGGAGCUCACGCGGCGAUCUCUGCGCUGCGAGGAGCGUUCCAUUUGGCGCGCGCUGCAGCUACGUGCUUCAGGCUCACGCCUCGGCCUCACCGAGGCAGACAACCGCGCCGCACUUGGCGCUUUGGAAGAGUUCUCCCGUGACGAGCUCAGGAACCGUCGACUUAUCGAGCUGGGCGAUAACGUGCAGCGUGAAAUUGUUGUUCAGAGUUGCCUUGCCGGCCAUUUGCGGUGCGUCGAUCACUCGAAAGGGGCGCAACGUGUGCGUCGGCGUUUGCAGUGGCAGGAGGAGAUGGACAGGGCUACAGUGGAGCGACUGUAUUCGCUACACCUCAUCCUGCUGCUGCAAGACAUGAACGUAGAUUUCGCCGCGGCGGUCAAAAGAGAUGUUGUCCUCCUUUCCGAGGCAAGCCGCGCGACGACGCAGCAGGUGCGCGUCGCAGACUGCGAAGAGUGCGUGCUCGCCUGCCUUGAGCAGGAACAGCGACUUCGGCUUACGUUAGAGGAGCAGGAGCACACCGGCUUCAAGGCCGUGACGCAGGCGUUUCUCCUCGGCUGGCGGGGAGUCUACAAGCAGAUUACGAAGGACUCUGACGUUACAAGCGUCUUUGGCAAGAUUGAGCUGCUCGUCCGGCGUGACAUUGUGGACCGGCGGAGGGUGGAGCUGGGCUCCCUGCUACUUGCGUUUCAGGCGCAGACGUGCGUGCUAAAACGGCACCAGGCCGAGCGUCGGAGCUUGUGUCAACAGUACAUCGGCGGCGCUCGCUUCAUCAGCACUGAGGAAAACAGGGAGGCAAAUCAGCUCUUCUGUGAUCACCACGUAUGGGAGUGCCAGCAAGCGACCCUGCAUCGUGCCACCGUGCUGGCAAUUGAAGAGGUAGCCUCCAGUCGCGCCAUCCGCGGCGCAGAGGCGCAGGCGCGCCUGGCGUGCAAGCUAAAAUACCUUGCGGAGAAGCUUCAGCUCCAAUGCGAAGAAGGACGGCAGCGUGUUGCUGAGGAGGAGGAGCGCUGCCUAGGCGAGCUCCGUGAGCGUUACGUGCAUAUCUUUUUCAUCAAAGGAGCGGGGAGGCUCUUCGACGGCGAGCGAGCUGAGCGCAUGCUCAUCGAAGUUGAGGAGUCGGCCGCAGCUGUCGACACGCUUCUGCCGCUGCGGCAAGCGCUGACACAUUCUCUAGUCUCCGACGCCUGCCGGCCUUUGUCGAGGUUGGAGGAUGAAUUCCGUGCACGCGUGACGGUCGAGGAGGCGCGCGAGCGUUGCUGCCUCGUGCGCCAGCACGUCUUGCUCUCGGAAGCGGCGCAUCGGAUUGGGCUCUUCGAGCUCGAACACAACUUUUGGAUUCGCCACAUCACUGCGCAGGUGUCCGCCAUGGAGGCCGACGCGCGUAGACUCCUUUGCAGCUCCGCGGAGGCGGAGAUGUUACUGGUGCGGCAAUGCGUUCUGGAGGACUGGGAGUGGGAGAGAAGAAAAAGUAUCCGUAAAUGCGAGGUGCUCGUGUGGGAAAGCCUCGCGUUCACCAUCAGGUCGCCUGCGCGGCCGUCGUUGUCACGCCUGACAGAUGCGACGGACAUGUGGGGGGCGUUGGAAGCAGACUGGGGAGAUGCUGCCUCCGACGUGGCGACGUGGACCGCAAACUGGCCGCUACACGACCGACCCUCGCUCACAUGUUACUCGACUCUUCGCUGCGAGGAUGUGCUGUUAGAAGCGUACUUGGAGCGCGAUUUGAUCCACUUCAUGGAGCACUGCGAGUGGUUGCAGGUUUUGCACCACACAAGUACGACGAGCUCCGCAGCGGAGAGCUCUGCCGUCGAUCGAACUUGCUGGAAGCUGGACAGCUUGUCGAUGCGACUGGAGCCGCAGCAGCGCGCCGCUUCCAUCAACGUGUGGCACUCGAACCAGUCGUUCGACGUCAGCUUUCCGCUGACGCAGCAGCCCGAUGAGGCGAUCGUUGGCGAGCGCACAAUUUCUUUCUACGCACCGGACGCAGGAACGACAGCAGCGCUGAUGCAGCGCGACACAGACGCUGGCAUGGUCUUCUUUCUGAUUCUCGAUGACGAGGGAACGGUGCUGGCGUGUGCCACGAUGGUGGUCGAGGUUGCGCCCAAGUGCUCUGCGCACCUGUGCAUCCCCCUGGACAGCAAUCGGGGAUUCGUCCGCCUUGUUUGAGGGGACAUGUGUGUGUGUGUGUGUAGAAAUAGCUACGCUGCGCUCGGCGGGGCACAGGGCCCAUGACUUGCUCAUGUAAAGUACCGUAUUCUCUUUUUCUGUACUAGUCACCCCCUCUCCUCCCCCCCUGCGUUGUUGUAGUGCCCCAUGGCGCUAGGCGGAUGCAUGGAUGGGCACGCAGACGGGAUUGGAACGGCUGGACAAUUCCCCUUGGCUGUUGCUCGGUUGGAAAUCUUCUUCGUCGUCCCGCGCCCCGCUCCACAUUGUAUCGCUGUAUUCGGCCACGGCAAUUUUUUUUUCUUCGUUUCGCAUUGCUUCGGAUGUCUCCCUUCCCCGUGUUUUAACUUGAGAGGCGCCAUGCCGAAAACG
rnacentral:misc_RNA from 1 species